rnacentral:rRNA from 1 species
GACGAACGCUGGCGGCGUGCUUAAUACAUGCAAGUCAACGAUUUUUAAGAUAGCAAUAUUUUAAAAAUAGUGGCGCACGGGUGAGUAACACGUAGAUAAUCUGCCUUUAGGUCUGACAUAACUCGUCGAAAGACGGGCUAAUAUCAGAUAAAACAAUAACUUGGCAUCAAGUAAUUGUCAAAAGCUUCGGCGCCCAAAAGAUGAGUCUGCGGACCAUUAGGUAGUUGGUGGAUUAACAGCCCACCAAGCCAACGAUGGAUAGCUGGUCUGAGAGGAUGAUCAGCCACACUGGAACUGAGACACGGUCCAGAUCCUACGGGAGGCAGCAGUAAGGAAUAUUGCUCAAU